rnacentral:lncRNA from 1 species
UUAUUUGAUAAAUAUGUCCGAAAUCUUUCAACCCUACACGACCAGCCCAUUUUCCUCGUACAGACUCUGCGUCUCCACCGGCAGAGUCGCCGCCGGCGAACGCCGCUUCCACCAACCCGUCCCAAAAUAACACCACGAGACCUCCUCUUGUCCCAUCAUGAAUCCCCUACCCGUCUCCUUCAAAUCCUUCCUUAUCUCGUCGAAUAUCCCGUUGAAAUUUUCCGGCCACCACACAAUGUUCUCCGUUUACCACCAAAUUUAUACCAUAGAUUCGCCCGAGUCUCCUCUAUCCAACCCCCCUAGCCUCAUGCCUCAAACAUGGCCGGAAAUGCUCGAAUCUUAGUUUUUAAUUUUCCGGCCAAAACCCUAAAAUGGCCAAAGUGCGUGCAAUUGACGUCAAAUGGUCCCUGGACAUCUCUCGCAAGGAAUUGAUCACCAAUAGAGCUCAAACGACCUUAAGAAUGGUCGAGUUUGGAAAAUAACGCGACUGGCCUGAGUUGCCUUUCACCAGUGAGUUUUUUUAGUCUUCUGAUUUUAUGUUUGUCCUAUUUCUGUUCAAUAUGUUUGAUUUCUUGAGACUUUGUGCAUAAUUGAUUCUGACUGCACGAUUGUAUGUUAGUUUCAAUGUGAUUUGAAUCCUGUUACGAUUCCUUGGUUUAUAAUAUGGUCUAGGUUAUUUGAUAAGUUUAUUCUAUAAUUGGUCAUGGCUAUUUGAUUUUGUUUUGGUUAAGUCAGUUUCAUAUUUGCUUUAGUUUGGUGUAAUGGUGCUUCAUCUCAGUAUCAUUGGGGUUAUAAUUGUCCAAUUUCAUAAUUAAUCGAGUUGUUUAGUUGAAAUUAGGGUAAAUCAAUUUGGUUUGAUAUUUGGUUAAUCAGAGGUAGAGGGGAGUUGGUUAGUUAAAUGGGUGAUUCAAGGGAAAUGGCAAGGGCAAAAUAGGGAAUCCAAGUGGAAAUCUACAAGUGGUUGAAACUAGAAGGCUCUAAAGUAUUCUAGAAUGGGAUUCUAGUCACAAUUUUAGAAGUUUAAGGAGUGACUUAAGUAACAAGUUAAUAAAGGGAGGGCUGAAUUGAAACAAAUGAGAGACUGCCUCACAUGUGCUUCGUUAAGGGGCUUCUUCUGCUUCAGCCAUUUUGGAGCUCUUAAAAAACUCUUUCAUCUUUCCAUUUCCGAAGAAAAAAACCCGAAAUCUAGAAACCAAAAAAAAACAAAUAAAAAAAAAUUCAAAAAAAAAAAAGGUAUCACUGUUUCAUUGAUAAUUGAUGCUGGACUCAGUUUCCAGUUAGCUGUAUCUUAAUUUGUAGUUCAAGUGAGCUUGAGGUCAAUUGGUAAAUGCUUUGAGUGGAAUUAGAAUUCAACAAGUUAUUUUGUGAUUGGCUUGGGGGUUUGAGUUGCCUUGGUAUUUCAUUGGGUAGUUCGUCAUUCACUUGUGUUUGUUUGAACUUCAUUUUGUUGAAUCAUCCAACCUUACUGACUGCAAAACGAUUCUGGGAUUGAACUCAUUGAGCUGUGCAUUUGUUGCUGCUUGAUUUGCUAUCGAAUUUGCUGUAUUAGGUGCUGCUGAUUUGUCCUUCCUCUUUUUGUAAUACCAGGUACAUUAUCGCACCAUUCAAGUGACUGUUAGUUGAAAAUGCUCAGAAGUAAUGCUAUAUGAUGAAUGAAGCUUGUUUUUUAUUUGAUUUCUCUUUGGAUCGUGUAUUUAAAUUCUGCAGUCAUUGACAAUAUAAAUUUGAAGCUAUAAUUGUUAGACUAUGUUCUAUUAGCUUUGAUUAUAUUCUCGUGCCGUUAAUAAGUCACAGAUUUCUCAAGUAAUUGGUACUGGGUCAUUAGGUUGAAGCAAGAAUGUGUAAUUGAAUGGCGAGCAGAAGAGCGAGUAGGAGUAACGUUCGCCUUUGGCUCAUGAAAAUUAUGCUGCGGGGGAUCGAUGGGAUACUCUGCCCUCAGCCAGUGUUUAAUUGCGCCCAAUUUGGCAUUUUGCGCUGAUUUCUUGUGUGGACUAGAGGAAGGUCUAAAACCGUUGAAUAAUUGGAACACAAGCGCCCAUGAGCCUCAAUUUCUUAUUGUACUGGUCUUCAUGAUUUAAUUUGAUUAAGUAGGGAUUUAUUUUUAUUUUAGAGAUAAUAGGAAUAGAAAAUCAUAGUCUCUUUAGGGUCAACCUUUAAAUAAAAAAAUAUUGAGACGAGCCUCGCGGAAUAAAUGUGCAAAUGCGGGGCCCUCAAUAAUUGGCUAUUAAAAUACUUAGAAUUCGGGAGGGUUAUUUAAUGAAUUUCAGGGUCUUCCCCGAAAUAAUAUUACGUUAGAAUCUUUAGGCGCGAUUUAAUUAAAUUCGGGUGCGUAUUGAUGCGACCCAAAUCCAAAUCUCGACGAAGUCGAAAUGGGUUGAUAACCACGGGCGUGGUUUGAAACGCGUUUUUAUGACAUCGCAAUUUUUUUAAAAUAAUUAAUAAUGAAAAGCGGCUUAAAAUUGAUAAAAGGCACAUAAGCUAGCAUGUAUUAAAAUCAAAUAAACUCAAAUGCAAAAAUUAAGCGACCGUGCUAGAACCACGGAAUCUGGGAAUGCCUAACAUUUUCUUUCGGGUUAACAGAAUUUCUUACUCGGAUUUCUGGUUCGCAAACUGUAAUAGAGUCAUAUUUUUCUUUAGUUCGGGAUUCAACCGGUGAUUUGGGAUACACUUAAUUUUAUUAGUGGUAACUCUGAAAUUUUAAUAACUAAAUCUCGUUUCAAUUAUCCUUUAAUUGUAAAAAUUUAUUUAUGCCCUUACGAAUAGUGAAAAGGGAGGUUUGACAAAUGCU